rnacentral:rRNA from 1 species
CUACGGGGCGCAGCAGUCGAGAAUCUUCCGCAAUGGGCGCAAGCCUGACGGAGCAAUGCCGCGUGAGGGAUGACGGCCCUAGGGUUGUAAACCUCUGUCAGAAGGGACGAAGAACGUGACGGUACCUUCAGAGGAAGCCAUGGCUAACUACGUGCCAGCAGCCGCGGUAAUACGUAGAUGGCGAGCGUUAUUCGGCUUUACUGGGCGUAAAGGGUCCGUAGGGGGUCUGCCAAGUCUGAUGUGAAAUCCUGCGGCUCAACCGCGGAACUGCAUUGGAAACUGGCGGACUAGAGUGUGCGAGGGGUGAGCGGAAUUCCUGGUGUAGCGGUGGAAUGCGUAGAUAUCAGGAAGAACACCGAUGGCGAAGGCGGCUCACUGGCGCAUCACUGACCCUGAGGGACGAAAGCGUGGGUAGCAAACAGGAUUAGAUACCCUCGUAGUC